CCUCUGGCGCCUGCGCAGUGAUGCCCUCACACUGAGCUCUGGUAUCUGGUAUAUAAAGCUUGGAACACUGGCACAAGCUGUCACUUGUUGCCGGGAAGUGCCAAUGAUGAAGUACUUGACAGCACUCUGCGUCCUCGCGGUCACGCUCGCGCUCUCAGAGAGCGCGAUGGUGUGUUACUUCGGGUCGUGGGCGGGUUAUAGGAGUGGUGAUGGUAAGUUUGAGGCGGCCAACAUCGACCCUAACAUCUGUACUCACGUCAUAUAUGCCUUCGCUGGCCUCAACACCGACUACACCAUCAAGGUGUUGGACCCGUACAAUGACUUGUGUGUCGACUAUGGCAAGUGCGGCUACGAUAAGUUCACCGACCUUAAGAGCCAGAACGCCGACCUGUUUACACUGCUGGGUGUGGGCGGCUGGAACGAGGGAUCUACUUCAUACUCUAAUAUGGCGGCAGAUUCCUUCAAGAGAAAGACUUUCAUUGACUCUACUAUAGUACUGCUAAAGACUCACAAAUUCGACGGUCUUGACUUGGAUUGGAUGUACCCAACCCAGCGCGGCGGCUCCUUUGUGGACAAGGUGAAUUAUAUAACCCUGCUGCGUGAGCUGGACGAAGCACUGCACUCCAAUGAUAUGUUACUGAUGGUCGGCGUGUCUGCUGCACGGGACAUCAUCGACGCCGCCUACGAUAUUCCCGCCAUGGUCCCAUACGUGGACCUAGUCAACGUAAUGACCUACGAUUAUUACGGCUCAUGGGAUCCGUACACCCAACACCAGUCUGGCCUCUACCCUUACCCUGGAGAAACUGGCGUCAACCUCAUCCUCAACCAGAACUUCUCCAUAAACUACUGGAUAGACGGAGGGAUGCCUAGCACCAAGCUAACAAUGGCUGUUCCUACCUUCGCCCGGUGUUGGACCCUGGACAAUGAAGCCAUUCACGGCUACAACGCCCCAGCAAGCAACCCUGGGACAGCAGGACCUUACACAGCCACCGCUGGCUUACUCGGCUAUAACGAGAUAUGUAACUACAUAAACAAGGAAAGCUGGACAGUGACAGUGGCAGAGGGUUGCAACGAACCCUACGCCUACUCAAUUCCUCACUACAAGAUCUGGUGCUCGUAUGAGAACCACGACUCUGCUGCCAUCAAGGCGCAGUACGUCAAGGAUAAGAACCUGGCCGGUGUGUUGGUGUGGAGUCUGGAGAUGGAGGACUUCCACGGCCGCUGCAGCGACCGGCCCUACGACCUCAUCAAGACCAUGGUAGAGGUCCUGGAGGACGACACAUCCACCACCCUGGCGCCAUAGUAGUCACGGCUCCCACACCACUAACUCACAAGGUCUCCACGUUCAUUCCAGUUCUGAAUUUGCCGAUGUUGGACCUGUUUAGUACCGAUGUUGGACCUGUUUAGUGCCGAUGUUGGACCUGUUUAGUAUCGAUGAUGGACCUGUUUAGUACCGAUGUUGGACCUGUUUAGUACCGAUGUUGGACCUGUUUAGUACCGAUGUUGGACCUGUUUAGUGCCGAUGUUGGAGCUGAAUAGUACUGAUGUUGGACCUGUCUCGUUCUGAUAUUGAAGCAGUUUUAUUUUAAUUAUUCUGACUUCAAUAAACAAUAUUAUACAAACUUUGA
rnacentral:misc_RNA from 1 species